UGGGGUGUGGAGCAGCCCGGUUAGCUCGCCAGGCUCAUAACCUGGAGGUCGCAAGUUCGAAUCUUGCCGCCCCGA
rnacentral:tRNA from 1 species